GAAUAAAUAUAUUUUCUUAUCAGACGUGUGAUUAAAGGUUUACAAAACAAAAUAUAGAGUUUGCUGAAUAAAGAAACUGGUCUCAACAACAAAUGAACUUUUGUAUAUUAAAAUGUUACAAAACAUGUUAUUUUGUAGUUUAAU